AUUUCUUGAUAAAGACAUUUUCUUAAUAGCUCUUUAAAUAUUUCUCAUGCAUCAUAUAGAGAUUCAUUAUCCAUUUGCUAGAAGGUCGUGAUUUCAUUCCGUAACU
rfam:Gossypium hirsutum cultivar TM-1 chromosome 10, whole genome shotgun sequence